AGUGAACGCUGGCGGUAGGCCUAACACAUGCAAGUCGAACGGCAGCACAGUAAGAGCUUGCUCUUACGGGUGGCGAGUGGCGGACGGGUGAGGAAUACAUCGUAAUCUACUUUUUCGUGGGGGAUAACGUAGGGAAACUUACGCUAAUACCGCAUACGACCUACGGGUGAAAGCAGGGGAUCUUCUGACCUUGCGCGAUUGAAUGAGCCGAUGUCGGAUUAGCUAGUUGGCGGGGUAAAGGCCCACCAAGGCGACGAUCCGUAGCUGGUCUGAGAGGAUGAUCAGCCACACUGGAACUGAGACACGGUCAAGACUCCUACGGGAGGCAGCAGUGGGGAAUAUUGGACAAUGGGCGCAAGCCUGAUACAGCCAUACCGCGUGGGUGAAGAAGGCCUUCGGGUUGUAAAGCCCUUUUGUUGGGAAAGAAAAGCAGCAGGUUAAUACCCCGCUGUUCUGACGGUACCCAAAGAAUAAGCACCGGCUAACUUCGUG
rnacentral:rRNA from 1 species